CUCAGUGGCGCUAAUGGUUUUGGGGAGCUGGUAGGACAAGGCUGCGAGUCUUUGAGGUGGAGCCACAGUUCUUUGCUUUGUUCAGCUUUCUGAGAGAGUCCAAGAGAAAGUAGCUGUAAGCUUCUCCCUAUCCCCAGAGACCACAGUUUAGGGAGUCUGCAGCC
rnacentral:lncRNA from 1 species